GGUGCUUGAAUAGCAACCAGAAGUAAAUAAUGGGACCUCUCUCCACAAAAUUUGAUUGCAAAGAAAUGCCCAUGGCACACUUCCUGUUACAAAAUUACAAGGCUGCGCAGUCAUCACUCACCUUCAUCUUUUAAAGCCUGACAUGCUACUUCAUAGCCUGUUAUGCUAGGUUGCUCACAGAUAGCAUGGCCUCGCAUUCAUUUCUAUAGGUGUUUCCAGCAGAUGUGAGGACAUCUAUUCACAUUAGAAGAAAGGAGUUUUCAACAUAAAGGGAAUCUAAACCCAAAAAAUAUAUUGAUGCAAGCUUAAUCAUGGUGCAUCUUUGUGCACUUCUGAAAUUAUUGCUCAUUUUUUAUUUUUAACGUUUCUAAGAUAUUACCAUUUUUAAAAUGCUGAUACCAGCCUCUUGGCUCAACUGGGUGCCAGCAGGUUCAACUAAAUCCAGGAAAUGUAUAUGCAGUACAUAGACAGUUUGGACCUAUAAAGAAAGAUUUUUGAGCCAAGUCUGCCUAAUGCAGGUAUGGUAUCCUUUAUCCAGAGAGCUCCAAAUUAUGGGAAGACCAUCA